AUGGAGUUUGUAGUUGGUGCUUCGGAAGCCACCAUGAGGUCUCUCCUAGGCAAGUUGGGCGGCCUCCUUGCCCAAGAGUACACUCUGAUCCGUGGCGUCCGCGGAGACAUCCAGUACAUCAACGAUGAGCUCGCCACCAUGCAGGCCUUUCUUGCCGACCUCAGCUCUGCCCUGGACGACCACGAUCGCCGGCUCAAGAGCUGGAUGAAGCAGAUCCGUGACAUGGCAUACGACAUGGAAGACUGCGUCGAUGACUUUGCUCAUCGCCUCCCUAAUGACUCCCUCAGCGAUGCAAGAUGCUCCUUCAUCAUGACAAUAAUCUACGAGAUGUGGACAUACUGGCCUCGCCGCGACAUUGCUUCCAAGAUUGCUGAGCUCAAGCUCCGGGCACAACAUAUUGCUGAGCGGCGCAGCAGAUAUGGAGUGGACAACCCAAGCGCAAUCUCUAGAGUGGGAGCCCUCCAUGAUGUUACAUAUGGCAUUGCUGAGCAUAUGGUGGAGAGCCGUCAGCUCAUCCGCACGGAGAAUCCCGUCGGAGCAGAAGCAGAUAUGGAUAAACUUCGGGAUUGGCUAACCAAAGCCAGACAUGAUAAAGGCUCUCCAGCUGUUGCGUCCUUGGUCGGAUUCGGCGGCGUGGGAAAGACCACCAUUGCCACAGCACUGUACCGACAUUCAAGGAAUGAGUUUGUCUGUCGGGCGUCAGUCACAGUGUCUCAGAACUUCGACGAAGAUGAAGUCCUCAGGGAUAUUCUUGGGCAAAUCAAGCCAACAGACAGUCAAAUCAAGCCAAAAGAGGAGGUGCAGGAGGGCAGCAACACAGGAAGGUCGGAGAAGAAAAACCUAGUGGCAGACAUUAAAAGCUCGGUGAGGCGAGUUGUGCCACUGCUAUUUAGUCACAGGCAACAAAGCGACGAUGGCAGCACACAAAGUAAGAUACAAACAAUGAACCGUGACCAACUUAUUGGAGAACUCAGAAACCGCCUGCUUGGAAGGAGGUAUCUCCUUUUGAUUGAUGAUAUAUGGUCUGUAGAAACAUGGGGGGCCAUUAGAAACUGGUUGCCACAUGAUAGUGCAACAGAUAACAGAGUAAUAGUAACUACAAGAUUUCAAGCUGUUGGUGCGGCGUGCUCAGGAAGAGAUGGAACUGAUUAUCUGCAUGCAGUCAAUCGUCUAAGUGAUGCCGAAUCCAAAAGUCUAUUUUGUCAGGGUGUUUCUGAAUCUCAAAGCAGCGAAGAAAGUGAAAGAAAGGACACAAGAUCACAAGCUGUUGGUCCUGGGUCCUCCGAAGGGGAAGUUGUUGCCGAUGCCAAAGAACUGUUUAAUGAUCAUAUUUCUGUUGCGCAAAGCAGCAAAGAAAACGAAAGAAAGGAUACAAGAUCUCAAUCUGUUGAUACUGAGUCCUCUGAGCGGGAUGGAAUAAAUCACCUGCAUUCAGCUAGUGUUUCGGAUCAACAAAGCUGCAAAGGAAGGGAGAAAGAAGAGGUCCAUAUGGAUAUAUGGAAAUAUUGUGGGGGGCUUCCUUUGGCCAUAGUCACCAUGGCUGGCCUUGUGGCCUGCAACCCAAAAAAAAGUAAUGCUCAUUGGAGUAACAUUUGCAGGUCAUUAUUUCCCGAGCAGGUGGCUCCCCUUACUUUGGAUGGGGUCACAAGGAUACUUGAUUAUUGCUACAAUGAUUUGCCAGCGGAUCUCAAGACCUGCUCACUGUACUUGAGCAUUUUCCCCAAGGGCUCGAAAAUUAGUAGGAAGCGUCUGACCCGGCGAUGGAUAUCUGAAUGUUUCGUUACUGAGAAGCAUGGGCUGAGUGCAGAGGAAGUCGCAGAAACAUACUUCAAUCAGCUCGUGAGCAGGAAGAUAAUACGUCCAGUGGAUCACAGCAGCAAUGGGAAGGUCAAAUACUUUAAAGUUCAUGACAUGAUUCUCGAAUAUAUCGUGUCCAAGUCGAGCGAAGAGAAUUUUAUUACUGUUGUUGGUGGCCAUUGGCUGUUGCCAACUCCUAGCAACAAAGUCCGUCGACUUUCCAUGCAAAGCAGUGGUUCCAAGCAAGAGAAUACAACAAAAGGCAUGAACUUGUCUCAAGUGCGGUCACUGACAGUGUUUGGAAGCCAGGCCCGACGGCUCCCUUUCCAUUCGUUCAAUAAUGGAAUAAUACAAGUGCUAGACCUCGAGGGUUGGAAGGGUUUGACAGAUAAACAUCUAAAUGGCAUAUGCAAAAUGCUUGUGCUGAAAUAUUUGAGCCUCCGUCGAACAGAGGUUUCUGAGAUUCCGUCAAAGAUUGAGAAGCUCCAGUAUUUGGAAACUCUUGACAUAAGGGAGACCAAUGUUCAGGUGCUGCCCAAAGCUUUUGGCCACCUCAAACGGCUCCGUAGCAUGCUUGGAGGGAGUAAAAACCCACGGAAGGCAUUGAAGUUGCCCGAUGAGAAAAAUAAGGAGCCGAUGAAAGCACUCCGUAUACUGUCAGGGAUUGAGAUCGACGAGGACUCAUCAGCUGUAGCAAGCCUUCAUCAGCUGACAGGGCUAAGGAAGCUUGCCAUCUACAAGCUCAAUAAACGGGAGGGUUGUCAGACCUUCACACAGUUACGCUCCGCCAUCGAGUACCUCUGCAGCUGUGGUCUGCAGACUCUUGUAAUCAAUGAUGAGAACUCUGAUUUUAUUAACUCCUUGGACACCAUGUCUGCUCCUCCAAGAUACAUCAUUGGCCUGGAGCUGUCUGGCAAGAUGGAAAAACCCCCAAAGUGGAUCGAAAAUCUCGAGAACCUCUACAAGCUGACCCUUUCUGUGACAGUUCUUCAGACUCGUACAUUUCAGCUCAUUCAGGACCUACCAAAAUUGUUUACUCUCACCUUUACGCUCAGCGUAGCCAAGGAUGAUAGGGACAUAGUGGACAUCCUUGAGGAAAAUAAACAGCUUACUGAUAGGGAGAUCAUUGUUCCACCUGGAGGAUUCAAGAGUCUAAAGCUGCUUCGCUUCUUUGCAACUCUGGUGCCACGGCUGAGCUUUGCAGUUACAGGAAAAGAGGUAAUGCCAGCACUGGAGAGGAUUGAUAUGCGAUUCGAAGCCUUUGAAGGGAUUUACGGCAUCGAGACUCUUAAAAGCCUCCAAGAGGUGCAUCUCAGUGUUGGUAAUCAAGCAGAUGAAAUAACAAAGUUCUUGGUAGAAGAUUUGAAGGACACCCCUAAGUAUUUGGACAAAAAGUACGCGGAUAAGUGGCCAAAGAUAAUCACCGAGUGA
rnacentral:rRNA from 1 species